UACAGAGGGGGCAAGCGUUGUUCGGAAUUACUGGGCGUAAAGGGCGCGUAGGUGGCCUGCUAAGUCGAACGUGAAAUCCCUGGGCUCGACCCAGGAACUGCGUCCGAUACUGGUUGGCUUGAAUCCGGGAGAGGGAUGUGGAAUUCCAGGUGUAGCGGUGAAAUGCGUAGAUAUCUGGAGGAACACCGGUGGCGAAGGCGACAUCCUGGACCGGUAUUGACGCUGAGGCGCGAAAGCCAGGGGAGCAAACGGG
rnacentral:rRNA from 1 species